AGGAGGAGGGUGAGGUUAUGGACGGCUGUGAUGGGCUUGAGGAUGUGGGGUCCAAUGAGAGGUGAUGAUGGUGGUGAUGUUGAUGUUGAUGUGUGGUAGAGGAUGAAUGUGAGGGAAAGGUAAGUGAGGAUGGAGAGAUACGUAACUAUUAUUUAUUGAAAAUUAAUUCUUUAAAUACUUUAAAAUGUAAAAUUAUUAAAUAAAAAUUCAUUCUAUUGUUGUUAAUUCACAAAAUUUUAAUUCAAUUAUAACAUUUCUACUUAUUUUUUUAAGUUAAAUUAUAUCUUUUUUAUUUUUUUUUCUAAAUUAAACUAAUUUUUCUAUUCUUCUAUUGUCUAAAGUUUUUCGACAUAGUUUUAUUUCAAAAUAGAUAAAACAAGCACAAAAAAAAGUGAUGAAUAAAAGAAUAUAUUAAAAAGAAAUAAGAACAAAUAACAACACAACUAAUUAAGAGAAUAAUAAAAAGAUAAAAUCAUAAAUUUGAGAUGAAAUCAUAAAUUAACUUAUAUUUAUAUUAAGGCUAUUGUUUGAAAAUUUGAGUAACGACCAAUAGUCAUAGAAAAUAGAGAAAACUAUUAGAUUUUUUCUUUUUCUUCUAUAGUAAAAAGUAGAGGAAGCAAGAUUUUUUCCCCUCUCUCUCUUUCUUUCUCUCAAACACCAAGAUGUCUUCAUUAUUGGAGGAAAAAUUUAAUGGAUAAGUAAUAAAAUGUAGGGCUUUUAUAGAGGUUCAAAAUAAAUAUAAAACUUUUGAAAUAUAACUUAUUAAUUUUAACAAUGAAAUAGAUAAUUUUUAGGAUUGAAACGAUUAAUUUAUUGGUUUUGUAGAAAUUAAAACAAUUAAGUACUACAUUAAAUACACUUUAUAGGAAUUUGAUAGUUUAUUUAGAAAAAAGAUAAUUACAAAAUAAUAAUAAAUUAAAUGAAUAAUAAUGACUUUUAAAUUCAUUUUCCUCUUUUAUAUACAAAAUAAUCAUCUCAUAGGACUUUUAUAUAAAGUGGAGUUCUAUGCAACUGCCUAAGUUGCCUAGAGGUCGAGCCGCUACUGAUUACAAGCCAAUAUUGGAGUGUUGAGGUAACUAGAUAUGAAGCCAUGGCUGGUUUUUGGGGGAGAAAGAUUUGGAAGAGAUUAUGUUGAGAGGAACGGGGGAGUUCAUAAAGUUUUAGGAUAAUGUGGAGGGUAUUUUGGACAUAUUACCGUCUUAGCUUAAAUUUUGGGAAAAAGAUAAUCAAUAAUAAACUAUUUUUUCAUAUCAAUUUAAAACUCCGAGUGUGUCUCCAAAAAUUGUUUUCUUUUUUUUAUUAUUUUGGAUUUUAAAUCUUAAAUUUAGUAAAGGAAGUUAAAUCAAGUGAUCACUUUUUUUUUUCAUGCAAAGCAAUUAAUCUUUUUUGUAAUUUAAGCAAAUAUUGGGUUGCGUACUUUAACAAUAUUAAUAUUUGAUUCGAAAUUUCAUCUACCGAAACUACAAAAAUUAUUAUUUUCUAUUAAAUCAAAAACAAAAUUAAGAAAUAACUUAUUAUCUGCCAACUGUCAUUCAACAAAGCCAUCACUCAUGCAAAAAAGGGAAAAAAAAAGUGAUAUAUUCAUUUUAACGUAAUUUCAUACCAACAUAUCAUCCUUUUCUUUUGAACAAUGACCUCUUCAAUAAUAAAAUAUGGUAAAAGAGGAUGGGUUUCAGGUCUGGCGUCCGGGCCUUGGUGACAAUGGCAUCUUCUGCUCAAUCAAACUUGUGGAUUACGUGCACUCAACGUCGACAAUAUGGAAAUGGGAGAAAAUUAUGUUGAGUAACAUCUUGUAUGGUCAACGCGUCGAGUAUGGACUUGCAUGAUCGAGUCAGUACAACUAAAGUCGGGUAGAGUUUGGUAAAUCUCUAUAUUGGCUUGAGGUUGGACAACUAUACCUUUUAAGCUACAUAUUUAAACAAUUUUAGUAAAUAUUUACUAUUUUGAUUUAAAAAUUAAUUUGAUUUGAUCUCAUAUUUUAUUAUUAAAAAAUUUAUAAUAUCUUUAAUAAUUUUAUUAAAUUAUUAUUUAAAAGUCAUACAUUUACUGCACAUUAUCAACUUUCUGCUAUUUUUUUUGUUCUCACAACAGCUAGUAAUAUCAAACAAGAGCUAAGUUAAGUAUGAUCAAUUAAUUAAAGUUUUGAUUUUUUGUAUAAAAUAAUCCUUAGAUAAUUAGUCUAUAUAGAAUAUUGGCUACUUCAAAUGGAAACUUGUGAUCAAAAGUGUAAUUCCCUCUAUCAGUGAACUAUACUUGCCAGGAAAUUAACCCCAGGCGAGUACCACCACCUCCUACUAUUUCUUAGGUGUCUCAGAGUUUGAUGAGGACUUCCAUGACGUGUCUCUUCGACAGGCAGCGAAAUUGGGCAAUUGACUACAUUAACUCCAACAAAUUUAUGCAGUCACCUUCCUCCGGACUAUCCUCUUUCUUCGCGCUUUAGUUGCCCUUAUUUCCCCUUUAAUACAGUCAACAUUAUCUUGUUUGAUGCCAAGGAGACCAAGCCCAGAAACAAUGGCAUUCUUUGAUAUCAACCACCUGGGGACUUUUGAGCUGAGCCAUGACAUCCUGAGAUGGCCUGUUGUGUAAGCCUUCUUCAAAAGGUCAUCCGUUAAUCUUUCUCCUAAUUAGACAUUCAAAACCCUGCAUGGAAUCGAUUUGAGAAGUUGGACAAUAGACAAACUCCAACACAUAUAGACAGUAAAGAAGAAUUUAGACCGCAAUCACUGUGGCUCAACAAAUGGGCCUAUUAAAGCCUAUUAAAAGUUGGAACCAUAUUCACCACUCGCAUUUCCUUAAGAGAGCUAUACCAGAAUUCUGUAAAUUUAAAACUUUUCUUACAUAAUUAACUGUAAAACAAGAGAAAUUGUACUUCCGUAGCAAAGUCUCACUAUUGGUAAGUAUCUGGACUUGGAAAGGAUGCUAGUUGAUGAAGUAAAGGAAAAUUGAAAUCAGACUUUGAGGUGACAGAUCUAUACACUUCAAUAGGAACCACAUUGACAUCAUAUGAGACAAAUAAACAUUCCCCAGUCAAAGUUUAACAAACAAAACAUUAAAACAAGAGUAGGUUGGUCUAUCAAUGUAUAUAUAGACAUGUCGAUCAAUAGACAAAUACGUAAAAGAGGGAGGGAGAGACCUCAAAGCCGUGCUACUCCAAUAACUUCAAAAUUGUUCGUGACCACUCUAUCAAAUCCACGCAAUAGUUGCAUACACUCACCGAUGGGUUUGUCACAGAUAACCUGUUAGGCAUUAAAAAUUGCCCAAAUUAAACAAAUGUUAGACCAGCUUAGACAGUAAACGGAACAAUAUUCUAAUUUUACUUUAUUUAUAACGAAUAAGUGAACAAAGGAAUAAAAAGGAAUUUUGGCAAAGAAUCCUGCAGCUAAUCCCACCAUACACCGCUCUGCAGGCUUAUUUGGGAGUCAAAAUUCUCAAAAUGUACUAAGAAAUGACAUUUGUUCACUAAUCCCACCAACAAGGAGGAAGUGACGUGAAGAGAAUUUACUAAGAAAUGCCAGUGUAUUAAUAUUGAAGGAAAACAUUCACUGACGACCAAAAUCGCUGAUAUAUGCUUAAUUUCUCACUCACUAAGAACGUUCAAUUCAUUCAAAUGAAACUUCCACAGGAAGGUCUCAUUAUUAAGGCUUUAGCUUCACCUCACAUGCUCAACAAUUCAAAUUUGAGGAUGAUAUUUCUCCAAAUGGAGGGCUCUAUUUGGCUUGCCAACAAUCUUCCUCACAACUAUCAUCCUUGCUAUAUCGGUUGCACUGAGCAAUCUUCAUUCUGACAUUUGCCCUAUUAACCUGAGUACACAAGAAUCCGAAACAACUGUUAGAAAUUUUAAUCUUUAUAUACAGCCAAAAUGGUGAAUAAGAUGAUGUACUGAUAAUAAAUACCUGAGUUAAUAAAUAAUUAAGGGGCCGGUAACAAUCUCAGCAUCUUAUCAAGUGGGGAAAGCCUUCGCAACGAAGAUGCUGCUUGCUUUCAAGCAAUAAUAACUUUCCAAUUCCAUAAGAUAGCUUAAUGCCCUUUUAAGAAUAUCUCCACCAGCCUAACAAUUAUUCAUGGAAAUCCAAUUUGCAUUUGUCGCCUUCAAUUUUCUCAUCUUUGUCUAGAGUAUUGUUUUUGCAUUAACUUAGCUAGCUUGCAAACCACCUGCAGAUGGUUUUAAAUAAUGUGUGAGAGUGUGAAUUCAAACGAAUUAAUUAAAUAUGAUGACAGGAGAAACAAAAUUAAAAUAACCACAAGAAGUAGAAAUAUACUUUUGUUAUAUUCAGAGCAUCUCCUACUGUCUUCAUUUCCCUUAGCUCUGUUUCCUUUUGAGCUCGAACGCAAUGCCUCAAGGCUCAAGAUAAUUUGAUGACCAUCAAUCUUUUUGCAGCCACAUGUAGACUUGAAAAACUGUUGGCGGCCCUAAAGAACUUGAAAAUUAGAAAAGAUUCAGAAUGAGUGACUAAAUAUUAUAAUCAAAACUAAUUAAACAAACGCGCCUUGAAAAUCUGAAACUGAAUUAAUCAAAUGUAUAUGCCCCUUCACUGCAAUUGCACGUGGUGGAAAUUUUACUGCGAAGACUUUCUCAAACCUUGAAGAUCACACUCGGCCUGACAACAAAGAAACAAAGUCAAUAUACGAAGAUGAUUUUACUAACAAGUGAGAGCUUACAAAUAUUUGAAGGAUAACGAUCACUCAUAACCCAUAUCCCCAGUAUUCCCUAAUAUUUCACUCAAGUGGGUUCAAGCUCCCAAAAUUCACUACAGUGAAAUGUCAAAACAAAACUCUCUUCUCAAAUUUGAUGAUGAUAUCUCUCGAAGGGAGGCAAAAGAAUCUAACACUGAUCAAAUUGGCUUGUGAACAAUUAAUCUUCCUCGCCAUCAUUCAUACCAGGUGCGGUGAACAAUCUUCAUUCUGACAUUUGCCUUAAUAAGCUGCUUAGUAACCUUAACCUGAUAACUCACACAAACAAAAACAACUUGCCUAAAGUUUAAUAUUUCGAGCAGAACAGUAAAGAAGAUGAUAUCUAUUGAUGCUAAAAUUUGACCUGUGUUACCCUGAUGUCAAAAGUCAUAGCAUCUCAUGUGGGCAAAAUCUUCGCAACACGAGAUGCUUGCAAAAUUGGAGCAGCAUCUUAUCACCUGUAAUUUAAUUGAGACAAUAACUUUCCCCAACCAUUUCAAUGCAUUAUUGGCAACUAAAUUCAGAGGGUGCUAAUUAAAUACCCUUUUAACAAUAUCUUCUUAUUCUUCUUCAAUCUAACAAUUAUUUGGAAAAUCUAAAUGACAAUCAUGCAUCGAUGGCAUGAAAAUUUGGCUACAAAGUAGCCUGGAAAAGGCUGCUCUCUGAAUGAGAGCAUGAAUUCAAACAAAUAUGAUGAAUGAAUAAAUAAAGGCAUAAUACCACAAGAAGUAAAACUUUUCCCCAGAUUUCUGUUUCUGUUUGUGCUAAAACCAAUGGAAACCGAUGGAAAUGAAUUUCUACGAAUUAGACAUAUCAGCCAAAACAGGUACUCCGUACAAGCAAAGUAAAAGAGGGUUACAAAAAAUUUUAAUAUUGAUAUGAUAAUUAAAAUUAUAAUGAAAAUUUCAGUUACCAUAUAAUUAAUAGAUAACUCUGUACACAAUGAUUUAUUGCAUAUUAAGAUUGUAUACCUGAAUUUUAAUUGCUAUACAAAAUAUGGUAGUAUCAUUAGGAGACCGCACCAAAUGUACCGAAUUGAAUGUGCCUUUUCACAGCCAUUGUACAAGCUUUGAAGCUUUACCACAAAUGCUUUCUCAAACCCGUGAUCAUGAUGCACCCGAGAGAUGCAAGAUAUGAAAUUGUUACUACAGCAGGCAAUAACCACAGUGUUAAAACAAAUGUUUAUACAGGAUAAAUGAUUCCAAGAAUGAAACAAGAUAGCAAUGAUGAUCUCAGCACCUUAACAUCACGCAAUAAUAAUCAUCAUGUCUUUCAAGCAGCUAUCCAUCCUCAAUUGAAACAGAGCAGAUCCGGCCAUCACUUCCUUCUUCAAAGUCCAGCAACCAAACGUUGCACAAUAACCACAGUGAUAAUCCUUGGUUACCCCAAUGUUCUCCAUAGAGUCUCCAAAGUCAAUCUAAAAAUGAAAUGCAGGUGGAAAUCAAAAUUCUAUUAACUAAAUAAAAUAUAAAGUGCAAUGCUUGUGCUUGAGCUUGCUUUAACAUCAUCAUAAUAGCGAAUUUUGAUACACCUUUACUUCUCUGUGGUUCAAUCAUUUACUUCCCUGUUCUUGUUUAUUCACAACAAGAUAUCAAUAGAAGAUGAUGGAAAUGAAAUUCUAUAAAAUAAAGCAAGUGAAUUACCAGUAGACCAUUUUAGCAAUCCUUUGGCUAAACUUUUCAUUUUCUUAGCACACUGUCCUGCAGUACUGCCUGCAUCAUUAAAACCAAAUUAGAUUGGACCUGUGAAUUGCUAGUGUGGUUCUGACAUUUCCUCGAAUCCCUGGUGAACAUAAUUAAACUCGUAUGAAAUAAAACAAAGUGGGCUAAUGUACUACUAAAAACAAUUACACAAUUACUUUAAAGAAUUAAUGUCACAUAAAUUAUAUAUAAAAAAAUACGAUUAUCAUUAUACAAGAUAAAAUUGAUAAUUUAGUUUUCGACAUUACUGCAAAUGUAUGAAGGAGAUUUUGUCACUCAGGAAGUUACACAUAACAAAUUUCCGUACAUUAAAAAAUAAAUUACAUUGGGAUUUUCUAUGAUGUUGUAUGAAAUUUUACAAAAAAGCACAUAUUUUUUAAAAGUAAAUAAAUAUAGAAAUUUCAACAGACUAAACUUGUAUUUUUUUUUUAUUUAAUCUUUAGAAAACAAGUUUAACAUAUUUGAUAACUAGGAAGUUUUACAUAUUUAUACCAUGAUUGAUUCUAUAUAGAAUUAUUAAAUAAUAAAGUAAUGCCAUAAUCUAAUUGGUCUUGUUAUUGACAUGUACUCACGCAUUCUAUAUUUCUAACUUUGUACAUUUUAUUGAUAUGUACAAAUUGUCAAUGUUUGCAGUGUCGUUGUUUGAAGUAACAACAAAGUAAAAUAGAGGUGAGAAAUUACCGGUGGGUGAUAGUAAUUGCAACCAUUCGAGAAUUUACCACUCGGACUCGAUGUAGGGAAUGUGAGAUAUCUUAUGCCAGUCUUCUCCUUCCCCCUCUCUAUAACGGUUUUCCAGAAGAGGACAUCUGUGAAUAAUCAAUUCCUGCAGCGUCGUCGUCCGAAGAAGGUAAUCCGGCAGCACCUUUAAUUUGGGGCAAUACCCAAUUUCCAAGGAAGAAAGACGUGGUAUGUCUGUUGUCUUGCGAUCUUCUAGAAUGGGCAGUUCUUCUAGAAGAUCACAAAAAUAAAUACGCAGUUCCUGCAGUGCCGUCGAUUGAAGAAGGUAAUCCGGCAGCGCCUUCAAUUUGGGGCAACCUCUAAUCCACAAGGAAGAAAGACGGGGCAUGAUGGAGAUGUUUUCCUUCCUCGUAAUCCUGUAAUUCCACUCUUCCAACUCUUCCAUUCCCCCAAUGUCGAGUGAUUUUAAUUUGGGAAAGGCAGUAACUGAUGAUGACGAUGAAGAUGAAGAUGGGUCAUCCUCACUGCUUUCUUCUAUUCCCAAAAACUCAUUACCCACUCUUUUUACACUUUUCAAAAUGUAUAGUUGGAGUUUUUCCAGAGGUAAUUUUCCCAAAGGAGGCAAAUGCUCACAGUUAAAACAAAACCAAAGAUUUAAUUCCCUUAGAUAGGUUAGUGAAGUCAACCAUUUGGGAAAAAUGUCGCCUCCGUAGAAACAAAUCUGUAAUUCCUCUACAUUCAAAUGCGGUUGUAAAGCUUCAAGAAGUUGUUUAUCUUUCUCAUUCUUCCUCCUCCCUUCUUCGCCUUCCCCAUCUACGACUCCAUCAAACACAAGAUGCAAACGAAGGAGGUUUUCCAUAUUGUGAAGUCCUAUUCUCUCAGCCUCAUCUAAAUGUGAUACAUUACUCAGCCCUUCUAUUCCACAUUUACGAAGGAGUUGAAGAUUUUUCAGAGAUUCAAGCCUACACGUGCUGCCGCCAUCAACACCUCCACCCACAACAAACUUUUCUAAUGUUCGAAGACUGGUUAAUUUGGAAAUCCCUAUUGGCAUGUACUUCAAUGAAUAAGUUUGACCAUUCAGUAAACUCCUCAUGUUCAUUAACUUCCCAAUCCCCGCUGGCAAUUCUCUAAGAUUUGGGCACCGCCUAAUAUCUAGCUUUCGUAAAUUAUAUAAUUCACACAAAGUCUCAGGCAGUCUCUCUAUACAUAAUUCAGAUAAAUUAAGAUAUUUUAAAUGUAUCAAUUUUCCAAUAUUUUCUGGAAUUUCUCUAAUGAAAUUUGGGCUAGGAUGAGAAAAUGAGGACAACUGUCUUAUAACUAAUGCCCUUAAACACGCCAAUUUACUAAAUAACCCCGGAAGGAUGCUACUACGAAGAGACGGACCUUUAUCAUAAAUUAAGAGGGUCCGCAAUCUAUUAAGUCCAUAAAUGGACAUAGGAAGUGGAGCGCCUCCUUCAAAAUUUAAUCCUAGGUGACAGACUUUGUCACCAAAAGAAUUUAUGACUGACUCUUUGUUACCAUCAAUUUCUAGCCACAAACAUUCUUUUCUACUUACAAAUUGGGCAAAAUCAUGUACUAUGUCAUGCAUUUUACACCUCAUAAACUCAUUAUCGCCACCGUAUGUUUCAAACUCUUGAAAGAAAGAGUGUGUUGCUAAGAUGUUGAAAUACUCUUCUCCAACCAUCUCCAUUUCUUCGUCUUCUUCUGCAUUAAGGUAACCUUGAGCCAUCCACAUAUCAAUCAAUUCCUUUUUAUGCAUAUAGUGGUCUUUUGGAAAGACAGCACAAUAUGAGAAACAUUGUUUUACCAUAGAAUUAGAGGGCAAAUCGUUAUAACUCAACAACAAAGGAGCCAAAAGACCUUUCCUAAUCUCUUCUACCUUCCACAUUUCACUCUCUAAAAUUCUUUGCCACUCUUUUACUGUACAUUUAGAGCGCAAGAGAUUCCCUAUUACCUUUACAGCAAGAGGCAGGCCUUUGCACUUGCGUGCAAUUUUUCGUCCGAUUGGUUCUAAUUUUUCACAAUCCUCGAAAGAGCGACCGAAAAAUGCCAACCGCUUGAACAACAACCAGCAUUCCUCUUCAGCUAGUUGUUCAAUGGAGAUAAUAUCUAACUCUAUUGUUCGCAUCAUACGUGCAACUGACUCAUUACGUGUGGUAACCACAAUUUUACUUCCAGGAAGACCAUUCUUUAGACAAAAGAAGAAUUGAUCCCAUAUAUUAUAAUUCCCAUCCCAUACAUCAUCUAAGACAAUAAAAAUUUUUUUUCCUUCAAUUGAUCUAUGGAUAUGGCUCAUAAGAGAUUGGAAUUCGCUUAAACCAGAAGCUUCUUUUGACUCGCCUAGUCCUUCAAUAAUUGCUUUGGCGACCCUCAUCUCAUCAAAAGUGUCUGAUACACACACCCAUAUAACUUUUUCAAAAUUUAUUUUCACCCCAUCAUUAUUAUAGGCUAGUUGUGCAAGAGUGGUUUUACCUAUACCCCCUAACCCAACCAGUGAGAUGAUAUGAGGAUGUUGUUCGCCACUCUCACCCAACAACUUACCUAACAGCUCAUUUUUCUCGUCAUCUCUACCAAAAAUCUCUCCCUCAUCAAUCAAGGAGGUGGUUGGCACUCGCUCUGAUUUCUUAACAUUGUUACUCACAUUCUCAACAAAUUUAAACAUAUCUUUUCGAGUGGCAAUACCAUCUAGCUUUUCACUGAUUUCGCUAAUCUUGACAGCAACAUCAUCACGAAGAAUGAGUUGUUUGAAACCACCUAAGUAGUUUGAGGCAGCACGAAAGAAGGAACAUACCUUCUUCUUAGGAGGAGCAAGAGCAAGAGCAUCGUCAUCAUCGCCGCCCUCAUCAAGCUGCAAUUUCCGUGUUUCAGUGAUCCACUCUUCCAACACAUCUUCCAUGUCGUAGGAUGCGUCUCUGAGCUGAUCCAGCCAAAGAGUAACAGCUUUGUCCUGCUUCAUUUGCCUCUGCUCUGCAUCUUACAGUACAGCUUGAAUGACUUGAAGAUUGGUAGUAAGCUUUCCCACUUCUUGUUCGACACCCGUCACAAGCCUCCACUUUUCUUUCACCUGAUCUUGAGCAAUGGAUUUCAGCUGGUCCAGGAGAGAGGAAACGAUCGCAUGAGCCAUUCAGAGGAAAGUAGGUUUUAUGUAUUCUGUGAGAAUGUUCAUUCAAGCAUGUUUGCAUUCUUCUUAUACCAUAUGAGAUAUUUAAUUUUUACCCUCGAGUCAAUGUCAAUAAUUGUACAGCGUCUGCCCUGUUUCUCUGAUUCAUAAUAAUUCAUUGUUAAUUCUGCAGAGUACACAGCGUCAGCACUUGUGAAAUUUCUUACAUUUGUAAAAUCAUGCAGCCGACCCUUGUGAACUAACUAAUUAACUAAAUUUUCUUACAUUGUCAAUAAGUUAUGAUUAUUGUGAAUUUUCCAUCCCCUAUAUAAAUUCUUAGAUUUAUUUAAAUUGUGAGUCAUAGAAGUAUAUUACCUAAAUUAUUUUAUCAGGCCAUGUUCCGAUACUAGGAGUAAGUACGGAAUUGGACUAAUUUUGUGAUUAUCUAUUUAUCUCAUAUUUGAUAAGCUUAAUUGAAUUGGAUUUAGGAACCAAAUUUAAAUUUAAUCCUAAAAUUAUGGAAUUGAUAAUCCUAAUUUACGCAUAACUUUAGUUGGGAUAAAAUUAAAGAAAAAAAGUUAUCCAUUUAUGAGACUUUAAUUUAUAUCAUUAUCGUUUAUUUAUGCUUAAUAUUUAUUUAUUUUUUUUAAUUUAUGAUUUACUUAAAAUUUAUUUUUAUUUAUUAUCUAUCAUCUGAUUAAAUUAGAACUUUACUUCUACUAACUCUUGAUAUUAAUUUUUCAUUACUUGCAUAUUUGAUAAUUUGUCAAUAAAAUUAACCAUUUAAUAAUUUAUUGCAUAAUAGAUUGUAUUAAACUUACUAAUCACUAAAAAAAUAUUUAAAAUCAUCAUGAAAAUUAAUAAUACCGUCAAUUAAUUGAUUUUAUAUACUUUUUUAAAUAUUUGAUAAAAAAUAAUUAAGUAUUUAAAUUUUUAUUUCAUUUUUUUAUUUGUUUAUUUUAUUAUGGAUACCCAAUAACUUGCAAUAUAAUUAAUUUUCUUAUUCAGACUACUCAGCAUCAGCUCCUAUAAAAUUUCUUACAUUAUAAGCAACAAAAUAUUUAUAAACUACAACAAAGGGCUUAAAUCAAUCCACCGAUUAACCUUUUGAAGUUAUAUAUAAUAUAUUAACUGUUGAUCUAGAAUAGUCUUAGUGGAUAGAUUUUUUUUAAUUAUAAAUAUCAAUAAAUUUUUUUUAUCGUUUAAUAGAUAUUGAUGAAAUUAUAUGGAGUAAUUUCGCCCAAUCAUAUAUAUUAUAACAAAAGUUGGAAAAGAGAAAAAUAAAACAAAAGUUGGAAAAAUCAUGCAGUCGUUGGGAAUUUCGAAAUUUGAGAAUUUUGCCCGUAGCUACAGGCUGCAGCGAUUUUUGACUUUCAUGAUGCAAACAAACCAAUCAUCAUUAAUUUCAAUAGAAAGAAGUAUUCUAGGUGGAAUUGAUUUCUGGAGCAGAAUAUGAUGUAUUUGGGACUUCCUACUCUAUUAGAUAGGUUAAUAACAUGUUAAUUGUCACAUCAUUAAUUUUAGAUUAUAAAUUUUAUAUUCAAACUUUGUAUGACUGCUCCUUUUUCAUUUGAAAAAAAAAAAAAAAAUUAACUUCUAGCAUGAUCUAAUUAAUUGAUCUUGUUUCAAAAGAAUCAAAAAAAUAAAUAAAAUAAAAUAAAGUAAUGCCAUAAUCUAAUUGGUCUUGUUAUUGACAUGUACUAAUGCAUUCUAUAUUUCUAACUUUGUACAUUUUAUUGAUAUGUUUCUCUUGAGAGAUAAGAAUCAUUAUGUGGCAAAAUUUUAUUAAAGCUGGGAUUAUUUAUGUUCUAAUACUUUGAACAUUAAUUUUUAAUCUACUCUUUAGAAUACAAAAAUAAUCCUUACCUAAACAUCUUUCAUAAAUGUUUUUUGCUGGGGCUGCUAAAAUUCAUAAUCUAAUAUUAGUUGAUGUGGCAUGUGUCCUAUCACAUAAAUGUAGAUAAUAAUAAUUAAUUCAUUAACAAAAUGAAAAAUGUUAGUUUACAAAAUACAAAUCCGAAUUUUUUGUGUGUUAGAGGGAAUUUAAAAGGGAGAGACUAAACAAAUGUGGUGACAAAUUACACGUAUUACCAAAAUUGAAAAUACAAAGUUUAGGCAACUGGAAACAUCUCUGUCAAUGGCAAUGAACCCAUUACCUCCAUUUAUAAUUAACCAAAAAUCAAAUAAAUUAAAAAAGAAAACACAAAGCAAGGAUAACUACUAGUUGUUUUGAUCAUCCCUGCUUCUUUUUCUUAGCAUAGCUCUUGUAAUGAAAAUUAACAAAAAGGGCCAAAAGGGAAGCAUUAAACACAGUAUUGAAGCACCAACCCCAAAACACAGGGAAACCAAAUCCCGUGAAAUGAUAAUUCAGCAUCAAAAUGAAAAAUGUUAUGGAUGGCUGUGAUGGGUCUGAGGAUGUGGGGUCCAAUGAGAGGUGAUGAUGAUGGUGAUGUUGAUGUUGAUGUGUGGUAGAGGAUGGAUGUGAGGGAGAGGUAAGUAAUGAUGGAGUGAAUGAGGAUGCGUGGGAAGGAAGCUAGGGUUUGGUUUUGAGUCCAUGUGAAGUUGAGGACUUGUGGGUGGCUUACAAGCAAUAUUGGAGUGUUAAGCUGAUUGAAUUUGAACAGUGCUACUCCAAUAACAUCAAUAUGGUUGAUGACCGCUCUAUCAAAUCCUUUGGAUAAAUGAAUUGACCGCUCUAAAAUAAAUGAAUGAGAUAGGAUAAAUUCGAAUAAAUUAAUCUGCAUAAUGACACAAGAAACAAAUAUAAAUUGACCGCAAGUAGAAAUAUACUUUUGUUAUAUUUAGAGCAUCUUCCAAUUUCUUUCCCUUGAGCUCUGUUUCUGCGAGUGCUCAAAAGCAAGACACAGGCCUCAAGAUAUAAUUAUCAUCAUCAAUCUUUUGCAGCCACAUGCAGUACUUGGAAAAUGUUUAUGGCCCUAAAUAACUGGAAAAUCAGAAAACAUUAAGAACAAGAGACUAAUCAUUUUAAUCGCAACAAAACAUGCACACUAUGAAAAUAUAAAAUUGAAUUACUUCGAAUGGAUGUGCCUCUUAACAGGAAUUGCACAAGCUAAUGAGCAAGUGAGCCUUCGAAUGAAAAUCUAAAUCCUUGCAGCCUGCGUCAUGCAGCUUCUCCCAAUGAGUAAGUGAACCUUGAACAGUUAUCACUCAGCUCAAACUAAAAUGAAAUUACUGUGGACAUGUGAAUUAAAAAUAGAUGUAAAAGUAGUUUUCUCAAAGCAAAGUCAAGAUAAGAGAUUAACUCUACUCCUUAUUUACAUUAAAAAUAACGAACAAUGGAAAACAGAGCUAGAGAAGAACUUACCUGUGCGUUGAGAUCAUGUGGGGAAUGUGAGAUAUCUUCUUAGAUUUGGUUUGGGAAACUCCAUCUUCUUCUGAAAGUUCUGACAGUUCCCUAAACCCAGGCCAAUACAAUUGCAACAGAAACUGCAUGCUUUAACCAGUAUCUGAUCAUCUCCUGUUAUUUCAAGACAAUAAUAACUUAAUUGCAACACUGCAUGCUUCAACCAAUAACCUUUUCGACUUCAACACUUCUUUUGUCCCCCACCCGAUGCCCUUUUCACAAUUCUAUGAAUCAGAUAAAUCAGCCUUCUUCACAAAACUAAAAUUUCGGUCCCCAUGUAGCAGAGUUUCUUAUUUUUCCUUUGUACACAAAUGCAGACACUUAAGCAAAUUAAGAUUUCUUACCUAAAGCAAAUUAGGAUUUCUUUUGAUCCUGCAAGUUACAAUUUCAGUCCCCAUGUAAUAGUAAAAAUUUGUACACAUAUUUAUAUAGCAAAUUAAUAUUUCAUACCUCACAAUAUUUAUCAUAACCAUCAAUCUUUAGAAACCACAUGCAGACUUGUUAAACUGUUUAUGGCCCAAAAUAACAGGAAAAUUAGAACAGAUUUUUAAGAAUGAGCGACUAAAUAUUUCAAUGGCAACUAAAAUUACACAUCUUGGAAAUCUGAAACUCAAGUACUCAGAACACUGUAAGUGCAUUGCAUAAUCUUGGGUAAAAAAUACACAGCAAUUAAACAAGCUGGGAACUUUAGUGCAAAUGCUUUUUCAUAAUCUUCAAUUGCAUAAGUCAGUUAGAAUCAAUCUUUCUUAAUCUUUCAAUUCACAUAUGAGAGCCUGAUAACACAAGGAAACACUGUAAGUGAAUUGUCAACUGUGACAAAUUUUGGGUAAAAAUUAUCAACUGUAGUUAUCUGCAUAACAUUUAGUGUCAACCCCAAAUUCCUUCCUGAUCCGUGGAAGCAUUUCAGCCCACAGACGGUUAGCUUUGUCAAUAUACGGCAACUCAGGAUUCUAUAUUUAAACUAUGAUGUUUGAUGACUUGCUGAUACAAAAGACAUUGCCCCAAGCACUUUUUUACAUUAGCUAAAAUCAAGCCAGUCACUUCCAUUUGUUGCAGUUUUAAUGCAGAAAGAAAAAAGGGGGAAAAAAAUCUGCAAGAUGCCACUUGUAAUACCGCAUGUUCGCAGGAGCAGAGUUAAAUAAUUACAAAAUUACAUUCUUUAUUGGCCACAAAGCUGCCUAGAAAAAGGCUUUAAAUUCUUAAUGAGACAACGUAUUCGAACAAAUAUGGUGAAUGAAGAGACAAAGGCAUAACACCUCGGGAAGUAAAGCUCUGUUUCUGUAUGUGCUCAAACCAAUGGAAACCCAUGGAAAUGAAUUUCUACGAAUUAGACAUGUCAGCCAAAACAGGUACUCUGUACAAGCAAAGUAAAAGAGAGUUACAAAAAAUUUUAAGAUAAUUAAACUUUUAGUCACCAUAUAAUUAAUAGAAAACUUUGUACACAAUGAUUUAUAUGAGAUUAAGAUUGUAUACCUAAGUUUUAAUUGCAAACUAAAUAUACACAACAUGAUAUUAGCAUUAGAAGACUGCACCAAAACGCACCGAAUUGAAUGUACCUCUUAACGGCCAUUGUACAUGCAUUGAAAGUUUACCGCAAAAGCUGUUUCAAACGUGAUGCAUCUUAGAGAUGCAAGAUGAGAAAUUGUUAUUACAACUAGCAUUGAAACAUGUGUGAAAACUGUUAAUGGACCUAAAUAACUUGAAAAUCAGAAAAGAUUAGGAAUGAGUGACUAAGCCUGCUAAUCGCAACUAAACGUGCAAACCUUGAAAAUCCAAAAUUGUACUCGAUGAAUGUGCAAUUGCUCAAGCAGGUAAAUUUCCUGCAAAGGCUCUUACAAACCCUCAAAGAUGAUACUCUACAUACCAUGGUAACCUGAGUAACAAAAAGAAACACAGUGAAUAUUAAAGGGCAUUCUGACAAUGCAAAUUUGUGUAAAUUAACAACUGCGGUUACCUGCAUAAUAGUGUCAAUACCGAAUUCCUUCCUCCAUGGAAGCAUGUGAUCAGCCCACAUGUGCUUUGCUCUGUAGCUUUUGAAUACCUGAAAUUGUUAUCACAACCAACGGUGAAAAAUGGGUGAAAAAAGGGUAAUAGUAGCAUAAUUGAAUUUGCUUAUAGAGGAUAAACCGAUCAAAGAAAAAAACAAGACAGAAAUGAUGAUCUUAGUACCUUAAUAUCAUGCAAUAAUAAUCAUCAUGCCUUCUAGGCAGCUAUCCAUCCUCAAUUGAAACAGAGCAGACCUGGCCAUCACUUUCUUCUUCAAAGUCCAGCAACUGAACGUUGCACACAACACCACAGUGGAAGUUCCAUCACCAGCCUAAUCCUUGAUUACCCCAAUGUUCUCCAUAGGGUCUUCAAAGUCAACCUAAAAAUAAAAUGAAAAUGCAAUGCAUUAUUAUUAGGGAUCUAGUGCUUGAGCUUGCUUUGACAUCAUGGUAUUAGCAAAUUCUGAUAUAGCCAAAAUGGUGAAUAAGAUGACGUACUUGAUAAGAAAAACCUGAUUUAACAAAUAAUUAAGGAGCCGGUAACAAUCACAGAAUCUCAUCAUGUGGGGAACGCCUUGGCAACAGAAGAUGGUGCUUUCAUUCAAGCAAUAGCAACUUUCCAAUUUCAUAAGGUAGUUUAAUGGCCCUUUUAAGAACAUCUGCACCAGCCUAAUAAUUAUUCAUGGAAAUUAAUAAUCAGAAUCAUGUUAGAUUGAGAGAUGAAACAUAAUAAGCGAUUUGGCCACCAUAUAUGCAUUUAUCACCUUCAAUUUGCUCAUCUUUGUCUAGAGUAUUGCUUCUGCAUUAACUUAAUUAGCUUGCAAGCCACCUGAACAUGGUUUUAAAUAAAGUGUAAGAGCUCGAAUUCGAACGAAUUAAUCAAAUAUGCUGACAGGAGAAACAAAAGUAAAUAACCACAAGAAGUAGAAAUAUACUUUUGUUAUAUUCAGAGCAUCUUCUUGCGUCAAGUUCUUUUCCUUUAGCUCUGUUUCUGUUUGUGCUCAAACGCAAUGGCUCAAGGGCCAAGAUAAUUUUAUGACCAUCAAUCUUUUUGCAGCCACAGCAGACUUGAAAAAAUGAUUGUGGCCCUAAGGAACUUGAAAAUUAGAAAAGAUUCAGAAUGAGUGACUAAAUAUUAUAAUUGAAACUAACUAAACAUUAUAAUCGAAACUAAUUAAACGCCUAGAAAAUCUGAAACUGAGCAAUUGCUUCUGGUGGAAACUUUACUGCAAGGACUUUCUCAAACCCUUGAAGAUCACACUCUACCUGAUAACAAAGAAACAGUCAAUAUACGAAGAUGAUUUUACUAACAAGUGAGUGCUUACACAUAUUGGAAGGAUAAUGAUGAUUCAUAACCCAAAUCCCCAAUACUCCCUAUUAUCUCACUCAAGUUCGAGCUCCCAGAAUUCACUACUGUGAAGCUCUCACAACAAAAUUCCCUUCAAAGAUUCUCUACUCAAAUUUGAUGAUGAUGUCCCUCCAAAGGAGGCAAAAAAUCUAACACUGAUCAAAUUGGUUUGUGAACAAUUAAUCUUCCUGGCCAUCAUGCAUACCAGGUGUGGUGAGCAAUCUUCAUUAUGACAUUUGCCUUAAUAAGCAGCUUAGUUUCCUUAACCUGAUAACUUACACAAACAAAAACAACUUGAUUAAAGUUUAAUAUUUAGAGGCAGAACAGUAAAGAAGAUGAUAUAUAUUGAUACUAAAAUUUGACCUGUGUUAUCCUGACGUCAAGAAUCACAGCAUCUCAUGUGGGCAGAAUCUUCGCAGUACAAUAUGCUUGCAAAAUUGAAGCAGCAUCUUAUCACCUGUAAUUUAAUUAAGACAAUAACUUUCCCCAACCAUUUCAAUGCAUUAUUGCCAACUAAAUUCAGAGGGUGCUAAUUAAAUAGCCUUUGAACAAUAUAUUCUUAUUCUUCUCCAAUCUAACAAUUAUUUCGAAAAUCUAAAUGACAAUCACGCAUCGAUGGCAUCAAAAUUUGGCUACAAAGCAGCCUGGAAAAGGCUUUACUCUCUGAAUGAGAGCAUGAAUUCGAAACAAAUAUGAUGAAUGAAGAAAAUAAGGCAUAAUACCACCAAAAGUAAAACUUUCUCCCAGGGCUCUAUGUUUCUGUUUGUGCUAAAACCAAUAGAAACCGAUGGAAAUGAAUUUCUAGGAAUUAGACAUAUCAGCGAAAACAGGUAUUCUGUACAAGCAAAGUAAAAUAGGGUUACCAAAAUUUUUAAGAUUGAUAUGAUACUUGAAAAAUAGGUUUGCACAGAAUUAAUUAUUCUGUCAUUGAGAUUGUUCUUUUAUAGAGAUUUCCAGCGCACAUAAAACUAUUAAAUCAGUAAACUAAAUCACUGAUUUAAGGAAAGAAUAAUUUCUAGGUAGAUUUUCCUAAAAUACAUAGAUUUGCACCUAAAUAGCUAUGUUACAGCUAAUGACUAAUUUACAGCACAUAUUUUUUCUAAUUUUCUAACACUCCCCCUCGAGCUGGUUUGAAGAUAUCCUCCAUAGCCAGCUUGCCAACUAGAAAAUUGAACUGUUUUGUGUGUAGUCCUUUGGUAAAGACAUCAGCCACUUGUUCUCCAGUAGGAAUGUGCUCCAUAUGAACCAAUCCAUUAUCUAUCUUCUCCUUGAUGAAAUGCUUGUCAAUCUCCACAUGUUUUGUGCGGUCAUGAAGGACUGGAUUGUGUGCUAUUGAGAUUGCUGCCUUGUUGUCACAGUACAACUACAUAGGAGAUGAUUUUGUCGCUUUUAACUCUUCCAACAGCCUCCUAAUCCACAUGAUCUCACAAAUGCCAUGGGUUACAGCUCUAAAUUCAGCCUCAGCACUGCUCCUAGCUACCACAUUCUGUUUCUUGCUUCUCCAAGUAACCAAAUUACCACCUACAAAUGAACAGUAUCCAGAAGUGGAUCUUCGGUCUACUUUGCAGGUAAAUUUACUGCAAAGGCUCUUACAAGCCCUCAAAGAUGAUAUUCUACAUACCAUGGUAACCUGACUAACAAAAAGAAACACAGUGAAUAUUAAAGGGCAUUCUGACAAUGCAAAUUUGUGCAAAUUAACAACUGCGGUUACCUGCAUAAUAGUGUCAAUACCGAGUUCCUUCCUCCAUGGAAGCAUAUGAUCAGCCCACAUGUGCUUUGCUCUGUAGCUUUUGAGUACCUGAAAUUGUUAUUACAACCAGCGGUGAAAAUUGGGUGAAAAAAUGGUAAUAUUAGCAUAAUUGAAUUUGCUUAUAGAGGAUAAACCGAUCAAAGAAAACGACAAGAUAGAAAUGAUUAUCUUAGUACCUUAAUAUCAUGCAAUAAAAAUCAUCAUGCCUUCCAGGCAGCUAUCCAUCCUCAAUUGAAACAGAGCAGACCUGGCCAUCACUUUCUUCUUCAAAGUCCAGCAACUGAACGUUGCACACAACACCACAGUGGAAGUAGUUCCAUCACCAGCCUAAUCCUUGAUUACCCCAAUGUUCUCCAUAGGGUCUUCAAAGUCAACCUAAAAAUAAAAUGAAAAUGCAAUGCAUUAUUAUUAGGGAUCUAGUGCUUGAGCUUGCUUUGACAUCAUGGUAUUAGCAAAUUCUGAUAUAGCCAAAAUGGUGAAUAAGAUGAUGUACUUGAUAAGAAAAACCUGAUUUAACAAAUAAUUAAGAAGCCGGUAACAAUCACAUAAUCUCAUCAUGUGGGGAAUGCCUUGGCAACAGAAGAUGGUGCUUUCAUUCAAGCAAUAGCAACUUUCCAAUUUCAUAAGGUAGUUUAAUGGCCCUUUUAAGAACAUCUGUACCAGCCUAACAAUUAUUCAUGGAAAUUAAAAUUCAGAAUCAUAUUAGAUUGAGAGAUGAAAUAUAAUAAGCGAUUUGGCCACCAUAUAUGCAUUUAUCACCUUCAAUUUGCUCAUCUUUGUCUGGAGUAUUGCUUCUGCAUUAACUUAAUUAGCUUGCAAGCCACCUACAAAUGGUUUUAAAUAAUGUGUGAGAGUGUGAAUUCGAACGAAUUAAUCAAAUAUGCUGACAGGAGAAACAAAAGUAAAUAACCACAAGAAGUAGAAAUAUACUUUUGUUAUAUUCAGAGCAUCUUCUUGCGUCAAGUUCUUUUCCUUUAGCUCUGUUUCUGUUUGUGCUCAAACGGAAUGGCUCAAGGGUCAAGAUAAUUUUAUGACCAUCAAUCUUUUUGCAGCCACAUGCAGACUUGAAAAACUGGUCGUGGCACUAAGGAACUUGAAAAUUAGAAAAGAUUCAGAAUGAGUGACUAAAUAUUAUAAUCGAAACUAAUUAAACAUACACGCCUAGAAAAUCUGAAACUGAACUUCUCAAAUGUAUAUGCCUCUUCGCAGCAAUUGCUUGUGGUGGAAACUUUACCGCAAGGACUUUCUCAAACCCUUGAAGAUCACACUCUACCUGAUAACAAAGAAACAUAGUCAAUAUACGAAGAUGAUUUUACUAACAAGUGAGUGCUUACACAUAUUGGAAGGAUAAUGAUUACUCAUAACCCAAAUCCCCAACACUCCCUAAUAUCUCACUCAAGUGAGUACGAGCUCCCAGAAUUCACUACUGUGAAACUCUUACAACAAAAUUCCCUUUAAAGAUUCUCUACUCAAAUUUGAUGAUGAUGUCCCUCGAAAGGAGGCAAAAAAUCUAACACUGAUCAAAUUGGCUUGUGAACAAUUAAUCUUCCUGGCGAUCAUGCAUACCAGGUGUGGUGAGCAAUCUUCAUUCUGACAUUUGCCUUAAUAAGCGGCUUAGUAUCCUUAACCUGAUAACUUACACAAACAAAAACAACUUGAUUAAAGUAUAAUAUUUAGAGGCAGAACAGUAAAGAAGAUGAUAUAUAUUGGUACUAAAAUUUGACCUGUGUUAUCCUGACGUCAAGAAUCACAGCAUCUCAUGUGGGCAGAAUAUUCGCAGUACAAGAUGCUUGCAAAAUUGAAGCAGCAUCUUAUCACCUGUAAUUUAAUUAAGACAAUAACUUUCCCCAACCAUUUCAAUGCAUUAUUGGCAACUAAAUUCAGAGGGUGCUAAUUAAAUAGCCUUUGAACAAUAUAUUCUAAUUCUUCUCCAAUCUAACAAUUAUUUGGAAAAUCUGAAUGACAAUCAUGCAUCGACGACAUCAAAAUUUGGCUACAAAGCAGCCUGGAAAAGGCUUUACUCUCUGAAUGAGAGCAUGAAUUCGAAACAAAUAUCAUGAAUGAAGAAACAAAGGCAUAAUACCACAAAAAGUAAAACUUUUCCCAGGGCUAUCUGUUUCUGUUUGAACUAAAACCAAUGGAAACCGAUGGAAAUGAAUUUCUAGGAAUUAGACAUAUCAGCCAAAACAGGUACUCUGUACAAGCAAAGUAAAAUAGGGUUACAAAAAAUUUUAAGAUUGAUAUGAUAAUUAAAAUUUCAGUCACCAUAUAAUUAAUAGAAAACUUUGGACACAAUGAUUUAUUGCAUAUUAAGAUUGCUAUAUAAAAUAUAAUAUUAGCAUUAGGAGACCGCACCGAAGCAUACCGAAUUGAAUGUGCCUUUUCACAGCCAUUUUACAAGCUUUGAAGCUUCACCACAAAUGCUUUUUCCAACCCGUGAACAUGGUGCACCCGAGAGAUGCAAGCUAUGAAAUUGUUACUACAGCAAGCGUUGGAACAUUUGUUAAAAAAGGAAGUUUAUGAAAAUACGCCUUUGGAUACCAGUCUUCAGGAAUCAAUUCAUCCGUAAUAACAAUUUUCAAGAAUUAUCAACUGCUUUAAGCUCAUCGACAUCACAAAGAUCUCAACUAAAAUAGAGCAGAUCCGGCCAUCACUAUCCCUUCUACUGCUCUUUUCCUUUAGAGAAUGAUUGAAUUACAGAAUGCGUGUAAGGCAUUCUUAUUCAAGGUCCAAUGAUCAAACCUUGCACUAUAACAACAGAGGUAGUAGUUUCUUCGCCAGCCUAAUCCUUGGUCUCAGGAAUGUCCUCAACAGAGUACUCGAAAUCAACCUAAAAAUUAAGAAUGAGUUGGAAAACUGUUUAUGGCCCUAAAGAACUUGAAAAUAAGAAAAGAUUAAGAAUGAGUGACUAAACAUUUAAUCGCAACUAAACAUACAAACCUUGAAAAUCUAACUUUGAAGUACUCUUGAAUGAAUGAGCAGUUGCACGAGCUGGUGACAACUAAGGUUACUGUGAAGUCUCUUACAAAUCCUUAAAGAUGAUACUUUACAUACCACGAUAACCUGAUAACACAUAGGAACACAAUAAACAUUAAAGUGUAUUCUGACAAUGCAAAUUUGUGGAAAUCAUCAGCUGUGGUUACCUGGACAAUAUUGCCAACACCAAACUCCUUCCUCAAUUGAAACAUAUGAUCAGCCCACAAAUGCUUUGCUUUGUAGCUUUUGAGAGCCUGAAAUUGUUAUCACAACCAACAAUGAAAAUUGGGUGAAAAAAUUGAUAAUAUUAGCUUAAUUCCAUAUGUUUAUAUAGGAUAAACCGAUCAAAGAAUGAAAAAAGAUAGAAACAGAGCAGACCCAGCCAUCACUUUCUUCUUCAAAGUCGCACCAUAACCACAGUGGUAGUCGUUCCACUGCCAGCCUAAUCCUUGGUCACCCCAAUGUUCUCCAUGAAGUAUUCAAAGUCAACCUAAAAAUAAAUAAAAAUGCAAUGCAGGUGGAAAUGAAAAUUCUAUAAAUUAAAUAAAAUAAAAAUGCAAUGCUUGAGCUUGAGCUUGCUUUAGCAUCAUCGUAAUAGUAAAUUUUGAUAUAUCUUUACUUCUCUGUUCUUGUUUAUUCACAACAAGAUAUCAAUAGAAGAAGAUGGAAAUGAAAUUCUAUAAAAUAAAGCAAGUGAAUUACCAACAGAACAUUUUAGCAAUCCUUUGGCUAAACUUUUCAUUUUCUUAGCAUACUCUCCUGCCUGGUGAACAUAAUUAAACAAGUAUGAAAUAAAACAAAGUGGGCUAAUGUAGUAAAAACAAUAACACAAUUACUUUAAAGAAUUAAUGUCACGUAUAUUAUAUAUAAAAAAAUACGAUUAUCAUUAUAUAAGAUAAAAUUGAUAAUUUAGUUUUCAACAUUACUGCAAACGUAUCACAGAGAUUUUGUUACACAUAACAAAUUUUCGUACAUAUGAAAAUAAAUUACAUUGCAUGAAAUUUUACAAAAGAGCACAUAUUUUUUAAAAGUAAAUAAAUAUAGAAAUUUCAACAGACUACACUUGUAUUUUUUUUUAAUUAUUUAAUCUUUAGAAAACAAGUUUAACAGAUUUGAUAACUAGGAAGUUUUACGUAUUUAUACCAUGAUUGAUUCUAUAUAGAAUUUUAAUUCAAAAUAUAAUUAUUUUUAUUAAUUUCAUUGCAAGCAACAACGAAGUAAAUUAGAGGAGGAGGAGAAAUUACCGGCGAGUGAUAAAUUACCGCGACCACUUGAUGUGGGGAAUGCGAGAUAUCUUAUGCCAGUCUUCUCCUUUCCCCUCUCUAUAACGGUUUUCCAGAAGAGGACAUCUGUCAAUAGUCAAUUCCUGCAGCGUCGUCGUCCGAAGAAGGUAAUCCGGCAGCACCUUUAAUUUGGGGCAAUACUCAAUUACCAAGGAAGAAAGACGUGGUAUGUCUGUUGUCCUGUGAUCUUCUAGAAUGGGCAGUUCUUCCAUAUUUGCACAAAAAGAAAUCCUCAGUUUCUGCAGUGCCGUCGUUCGAAGAAGGUAAUCCGGCAGCGCCUUCAAUUUGUUGCAAGAACGAACUUCCAAGGAAGAAAGACGGGGCAUGAUAGAGAUGUUUUCCUUCCUCGUAAUCCUGUAAUUCCACUCUUCCAAUUCUUCCAUGUCCCAAAUUAUGAGUGAUUUCAAUUUGGGGAAGGCAGUAACUGAUGAUGAUGAUGAAGAUGAAGACGGGCCAUCCUCACUGCUUUCUUCUAUUCCCAAAAACUCAUUACCCACUCUUUUUACACUUUUCAAGUACCAUAGUUCGAGUUUUUCCAGAGGCAAUUUUCCCAAAGGAGGCAAAUGCUCACACUUAAGGCACGAGCGAAGAUAUAAAUUCCUUAGAUUGGUCAGUGAAGUCAACCAUUUGGGAAAAAUGUUGCGUCCAUAUAAUAUAAUCCCUAAUUUCUCUACACUCAAAGGCGGUUGUAAGGCUUUAAGAAGUUGUUCAUCUUUCUCUUUCUUCCUCCUCCUUUCUUCAUCUUCCCCAUCUACGACUCUACCAAACUCAAGACGCAAACGAAGGAGGUUUUGCUGAUUGUAAAGUUGUAAUCUCUCGACCUCAUCUAAACGGGACACAUUACCCAGCCCUUCAAUUCCACAUUCUCGAAGGAGUUGAAGAUUUUUCAGAGAUUCAAGCCUACAAGUAUUGCUACCAUCAACACCUCCACCCACCACAAACUUGUCUAAUGUUCGAAGACUGGUUAAUUUGGAAAUCCCUACUGGCAUGUAUUUCAACGAAUAAGUUUCAGCAUUCAGUAAACUCCUCAUGUUCUUUAACUUCCCAAUCCCCGCUGGCAAUUCUUUAAGAUUUCGGCACCGCCUAAUAUCUAGCUUUUGUAAAUUAUAUAAUUCACACAAAGUCUUAGGUAGUCUCUCUAUGCCUAAUUCAGACAAAUUAAGAUAUCUUAAAUGUAUCAAUUUUCCGACAUUUUUUGGAAUUUCUCUAAUCAAACUUGAGUGAAGACGAACAGGCGAGGAUGAUAGCCUUAUAACUAAUGAUUCCCUUAUAACUAAUGCCCUCAAACAUGCCAAUUUACUAAAUAACUUUCGAGUUUCUCUAAUCUUAUAUGUGUUUGGACAAAAACAUAGGCGCAACAGCCUUAUAACUAAUGCCCUUAAACAUUCUUUGCUACUACUAAAAGACGAAAGGAUGCUACUAAGAGACAGAUUGAAAUCACUUCUAUCAUAAAUUAAAAGGGUACGCAAUCUAUCAAGUCCACGAAUGGAUAUAGGAAAUGAAGUGCCUCUUUGAAAAUUUAACCCUAAGUGACGGACUUUGUCACCAAAAGAGUUUAUGACUGAGUCUUUGGUACCAUUAAUUUCUACCCACAAACAUUCUUUUCUACUUACAAAUUGGGCAAAAUCAUGUAUUAUGUCAUGCAUCUUGCAGCUCAUAAUAUCAUCAUCAUCAUCUUUUUUAAACUCUUGAAAGAAAGAGCGUGCUGCUAAAAUGUUGAAAUACUCUUCCCCAAUCAUCUCCAUCUCUUCGUCUUCUUCUGUAUUAAGAUAACCUUGAGCCAUCCAUAGUGAAAUUAGUUCCUCUUUAUUCAUAUUGUAGUUUUUUGGAAAGACAGCACAAUAUGAGAAACAUUGUUUUACCAUAGAAUUGGAGGGCAAAUCGUUAUAACUCAACAACAAAGGAGCUAAAAGACCUUGCCCAAUUGCUUCUACUUUCCACAUUUCACUCUCUAAAAUUCUUUGCCACUCUUUUACUGUACUUUUAGAGCGCAAGAGAUUCCCUAUUACCUUUGCAGCAAGAGGCAGGCCUUUGCACUUAUGUGCAAUUUUGCGCCCGAUUGGUUCUAAUUUUUCACGAUCCUCAAAGGACCUACGUAGAAAUGCCAUCUGCUUAAACAGUAACCAACAUUCCCCUUCUCCCAACUCCUUGACAGGGAUAAUAUCUAUUGAUCCCAACUGUAGUGCAACUGACCUAUCACGUGUGGUAAUUAGAAUUUUACUUUCAUGGUGGCCAUUCUUUAGACAAGAAAAGAAUGGGUCCCAUUUUUUGUAAUCUACAUCCCACACAUCAUCUAAAACAAGAAAAAACUUUUUUCCUUCAAUUGAUGUAUGGAUAUGGCUCAUAAGAGAUUGGAAUUCGCUUAAAUCAUAAGCUUCUUUUGACUUGCCUAGACCUUCAAUGAUUGCUUUGGCAACCCUAAUCCUCUCAAAAGUGUCUGAUACACACACCCAUAUAACUUUUUCAAAAUUUCUUUUCACCUCAUCAUUAUUAUAGGCCAGUUGUGCAAGAGUGGUUUUACCUAUACCCCCUAACCCAACUAGUGAGAUGAUAUGAAGGCCUUCUUGUUGUUCACUACUUUGACACAACAACUUGCUUAAGAGCUCAUCUUUCUCAUUAACUCUACCGCAAACCUCUCCCUCAUCAAUCAAGGAGGUGGUUCGCACUCGCUCUGGUUUCUUGACAUUGUUACUCACAUUCUCAACAAAUUUAAACAUAUCUUUUCGAGUGGCAAUACCAUCUAGCUUUUCAUUGAUUUCCCUAAUCUUGACAGCAAUGUCAUGACGAAGACUGAGUUGUUUGAAACUGCCACAGCAGUUUGAUACAGCACAAAAGAAGGAACGUACCUUCUUCUUAUGAACGCCCUCAAUCUGCAAUUUGAGCCUUGCAGUGGUCCACUCCUCCAACACAUCUUCCAUGUCGUAAGAUGCGUCUUUGAGCUGAUCCAGCCAAAAAGUAACAUCUUUCUCGUGCUGCAUUUGCCUUUUCUCUGCAUCUUCCAGCACAAGUUGAAUGGCUUGUAGAUUGCUGGUGAGCUUUUUCACUUCUUCGUCGACACCAGUAACAAGCCUCACCUGUUGUUUCAGUUCAUCAGUUGCAACUGAGCUCAGCUGCUCCAGGAGAGAGGAAACGAUCGCAUCAACCAUUCUGACAAAGAAGAUGAGAAUUCUGAAGAGUUAUUAGAUGUGCUUUUGUUGCGAAGAUAUGAAAGAAAGGAGUUAUUGCAUUCUUUUAUACUGCAUAGAAAAGGUUUAUGCUUAUCCCCACCCCACACGUCAAUGAUUGUAGAAUGUUUAAUUUCCCUGAUUCUACUCCACUAGUUGUGAUGCGUAAUUAUAAAUAUUCUCAAGUUAUGUAUGAAAAUCCCACAAAUUUGGAUCUAGUAAUGAUUUUUAUGUAUUUUUUCAUAAUCUUCUAAAAUACUAUAUCUGCAUGUUAUUUCGUGCAGAAAUAUGGCAUUGGGUGAAAAAAGUUAUGCUUAUCCCCACCCACACGUUAGUAAUUGUAGUAGCAUCUGUAAUUUCCAUGAUUCUACUCCACGGACGAACACAUUUUUUGUACUAACAUCUUUAAAUUCCCACACGUUAGGAAUUUGGCACAUAAUCUCAAACUCGUCGCAUCUUUAACGUAUGAGGUUGAUGAAUAAAUUCUUUUCUCAUAUCAAUUUAAAACUCCGAGAUUAUGUGCCAAAUUCCUAACGUGUGGGAAUUUUACCUCCUAAGUAAUCCGGCCCACUGCCAAGUGCCAACUUUUUCUCUGUCGAGUUAAUGAUGUUGUUUUGUUUUCCUUGUUUUAAUUAAUGUUGCGGAGAGAAACAGAUCGAUGCAAAUGGCUAGCCAGGUUUUGCAGAAACCGUGAAUGGUCUUGCAUGCAUGUGACAUAAAGCUUUAUAUAUAGCUUAUUCCUCCAUCAACAUUUCAAUGGUUCCAUCUCACGUGCACUUGGCUAUGAAUAAGGUCCAUGCAUGGAUCGAUCGAUUUAGGAGUUUGGACCAUCUCAUGCUGCAGAGUUAUGUGUCAUGUAUGUGUGUUGACACUUGCCAGUUCAUUUUUGUUAUAAAGAUUAUUGAUACUCGUAAAUGUACUACUUACAAAUCAUAAAUUUUGAGUUUGACACUUUAGUUUCAUUUUGUAAUCCCUACGCUCUUUAAAUAUUUGUAAUAAUAUAUUUCAAACUUUAACUCAGACGUAAUGAAUGAAGGGGGAUCCUCUUCUUAUAUAAAUUUUUAUUUUUUAACGUUCAAGUUACAUUUGAUUACGUGUACUUAUUAUCUAGUUUUGACUAUCUAAUGACAUUUGAUUACGUGUACUUAUUAUAUGAUUUUUUUUUAAAUGAUGGGUCUGGUGAGAUUUUUUACAUCUUGGAUUAGUAGGUCAAGAACGGGCAGGGCAGGGCCUUCUCUGAAGUCAAUCUUGUGAGCAACACCAGCUUUUUGGAUAAUUGGCAGCCCCAAUUCAUAAUUUUCUCAGUUGAUGUCCAUGGCCAAAAUCUGCAACCGAAGCUUAUUCUACUCUUAUUAAUCGAGAGAUAAUUUUAUCUCUAACUAAUUUAAUUGGGAGGAAAAUUGAGAGAGAUAUCCACUCUGUCCUUAUUAAUUGAGAGAUAAUUUUACCCUUACCCAAUUUAAUUGGAAAGGAAAUCGAAUUCCAACAAUAACUAGGACUUGAAUCCAUGCACUUAAGCUAACUUUAAGUUUUAGGAUGCAUGGUUAUAAUGUUCUUUAUUUAAAUCCUAACAAAUGGUGGGACUUGAACUUGUGCCUACAAACAUUGAGUGCUUAGGGGCUGCAAAAUUUCAUAACUUAAUUUUAGUUGAUGUGGUAUGUGCCCUAUCACAUAAAUAUGUAGAUAAUAAUAAUUAAUACAUUAACAAAAUGAAAAAUAUUAGUUUACAAAAUACAAAUCCAAAUUUUUUGUGUGACAAGGGACUUAAAAGGGAGAGACUAAACAAAUGUGGUGAAAACGACAUGUAUUACUAAAACUAAAAAUACGAAGUCUAGGCAAUUGAAAACAUCGGGUUUUUUAUUUAAAUAUCCCCAAUUUGUCCUUAAAUACCAAAUUUAUACCCUAUUAUAUACAUAUACCUCACGAAGAUAGGGAAAAUAAAAAAUAACCUUAAAAAAAUCAAGAAUCCACACAUUUCUUCCUCUCAGUGCAGGAAGAUGUCGAGUACGAAGUCGGGUAAGUCGAGAAUUUAGUCGAGCAAGAAUUGGAGAUAAGUAAGUUGAGUAUAUGGUCCAGUAGGAAGUUGAGUAAGCAUAUUAAAUGAGUCCAGUAUUAAGUGGUAGAGUAUUAAGUAAAAGUCAAGUAAAUUUUUUAAACAAGUCAAAUAAAAUUUAUGUAAUUUUUAAAGAGGUUGAGUAUUAAGUCGGGUUAGUACAUUGGGUCGAGUGUUAAUAUUUUUAAAGAAGUGAAGUCUGGUAAGUUGAGCAUUCAGUCGAGUAAGAAGUUAAGGCAAUUGAAUAAGUCGAGUCUCUAGUCGAGUACGAAGUCGGGUAUAAAGUCUGGUAAGUUGAGCAUUCAGUCGAGUAAGAAGUGAAGGCAAUUGAAUAAGUCGAGUGUCUAGUCGAGUACGAAGUUGGGUAUGAAAUCUGGUAAGUUGAGCAUUCAGUCGAGUGAGAAGUGAAGGCAAUUGAAUAAGUCAAGUAUCUAGUCGAGUACGAAGUCGGGUAUGAAGUAUGGUAAGUUGAGCAUUCAGUUGAGUAAGAAGUGAAGGCAAUUGAAUAAGUCGAGUACGAAGUCGGGUAUGAAAUAUGGUAAGUUGAGCAUUCAGUCGAGUGAGAAGUUAAGGCAAUUGAAUAAGUCGAGUAUCUAGUUGAGUACGAAGUCGGGUAUGAAGUUUGGUAAGUUAAGCAUUUAAUCGAGUAAGAAGUGAAGGUAAUUGAAUAAGUCGAGUAUCUAGUUGAUUACGAAGUCGGAUCUGAAGUCUAGUAAGUUGAACAUUCAGUUGAGUAAGAAGUGAAAACAAUUGAAUAAGUCGAAUAUCUAGUCGAGUAAAAAGUCGAGUAAGUAGAUUGAAUGAGUAGGGUAUUAAUUUUUUGUUGGCAUUUUAUUGAGGCUAUUUUUGUACUUUCUUUGGUUUUUUAAGUAUGUAUAUGCAAAGUACAGAUUUUAAUAGAUGGAUGUAUAUUUUGGGUAUUACGAGAGAAACGGGGUAUAUCCCACGCAAUUCCUUCGAAAACAUCUCUGUCAAUUGCAAUGAACAGAUCACAACCCUUCAUAAUUAAACAAAAUCAAACUUGAAAAAAAAAAUCACACACACACACACAAAACAAUCACAAAAACUAUUUGUUCUGAUCAUCCCUGCUUUUUUUUAGCGUAGCUCUUGGAAUGAAAAUUAACAAAAAGUGUCAAAAGAGAAGCAUUAAACACAGCAUUGAAGCACCAGCCCAAAAUCCCAGAGCAACCAAAUCCCGUAAAAUGAUAAUACAGCAUCAAAACCGAAACAACAAAACUAAACACAAACUGAACAAUCUAACAAUCAGUGACCAAUCUCUUCCACUUUGGCCGCAACCCCAUCACACACAAUAGAUAGUACCCGUACAUGAUCACAUGCACACUUGCAUUAGUCACAAGUGCAAUAGGAAACAAAGACUGCUUCGUCUGUAACCAAAGGUAGCACAUUACGACGACGGUUGCAUGGUGGUAGACGUGGAGGAACGUGAGCCAUUGGAUGGAUUUUGACAAAAUGAUCAAAAGGGUGUCUAAGAAUUCGAGUAUUUUGGAGAGGUAGAAGAGGUAAGCGUAGAAGAAGAGGGGGCCAGACGGAGAAAUGGUGGGGGGGAAACAGAGGGUGUAAUGGAGGUGGGGCAAAUGGACGAUGAUGGAGAGAGUGCAGCCAACGGCCAUGAUGAGGGAGAGGAGGAGGAGGGUGAGGUUAUGGACGGCUGUGAUGGGCUUGAGGAUGUGGGGUCCAAUGAGAGGUGAUGAUGAUGGUGAUGUUGAUGUUGAUAUGUGGUAGAGGAUGAAUGUGAGGGAGAGGUAAGUGAGGAUGGAGAGAAUGAGGAAGUGUGGGGAAGAAGCUAGUGUUUGGUUCUGAGUCCAUGUGAAGCUGAGGAUUUGGGGGUGGUUUACAAGACAAUAUUGGAGUGUUGAGGUGAUUGAAUUUGAAGCCAUGGCUAGUUUUUGGGGGAAGAAAGAUUUUGGAAGAGAUGAUGUUGAGA
rnacentral:lncRNA from 1 species